UCACCAGUAAGGUGGAGUAGACUGCAACUCU
rnacentral:piRNA from 1 species